AGCGAAUAGAUACCCCGGUAGUCCCAGCUGUAAACGAUGCAGACUAGGUGUUUGGACGGCCACGUGCCGUUCUAGUGCCGCAGGGAAGCUGUUAAGUCUGCCGCCUGGGGAGUACGAUCGCAAGAUUGAAACUUAAAGGAAUUGGCGGGGGAGCACCACAAGGGGUGAAGCUUGCGGUUUAAUUGGAGUCAACGCCGGAAAUCUCACCGGGAGCGACAGCAGUAUGAAAGCCAGAUUGAAGGUCUUGCUAGACGAGCUGAGAGGAGGUGCAUGGCCGUCGCCAGUUCGUGCCGUGAGGUGUCCUGUUAAGUCAGGCAACGAUCGAGACCCGCGUCCUCUGUUGCAACCAGCUUUGUGCUGGGCACACUGAGGAGACCGCCACUGAUAAAGUGGAGGAAGGAGCGGGCCACGGCAGGUCAGUAUGCCCCGAAUCUCCCGGGCCACACGCGAGCUGCAAUGGCAAGUACAAUGGGUUCCGACCUCGAAAGGGGGAGGCAAUCUCGAAAGCUUGCCGUAGUUGGAAUU
rnacentral:rRNA from 1 species